rnacentral:rRNA from 1 species
UACGUAGGGUGCGAGCGUUAAUCGGAAUUACUGGGCGUAAAGCGUGCGCAGGCGGCUUUGCAAGACAGAUGUGAAAUCCCCGGGCUCAACCUGGGAACUGCAUUUGUGACUGCAAGGCUAGAGUACGGCAGCGGGGGAUGGAAUUCCGCGUGUAGCAGUGAAAUGCGUAGAUAUGCGGAGGACCACCAAUGGCGAAGGCAAUCCCCUGGGCCUGUACUGACGCUCAUGCACGAAAGCGUGGGGAGCAAACAGG